rnacentral:ncRNA from 2 species
CGUGGAUUAUAUGACUGACGGAAUCGUGGAUCUAACCACAUGGAGUAUAAUCGUUACCACAAGCCGACCGUCUGGGCAGAAAAA